rnacentral:lncRNA from 1 species
GCAAUACUGUGAGCCUCUUGAAGCGUGACCUACAAAACAAAAACGCUGCACUGCUCAUCCUGGGCACUGGCCUUCUCGCAGCCAGCUCAACCGUUCCAGGUACCCUGCCAGUCGCAUUCAACCAUCGGAGUCCCCCCCCCCCAAAGCCCGAUCCAUCGUCCAUUCCCGCACUCGCUGCCUUGUGCGCUAUGCCGCGCCACUUAAGACGCCAGCAGCUUGCCCAUGAACCGCAUCCACAGCGACUGGUAGCCGGGCAGCAGCAUCUCAGGGACCAGGCGUAGGAAGGUGAAGGCGCGCAACGACGGCAGCACUUCGGGCGGGGCCGGCGACAGGCACGUGCUGUACGCUCCGUUCAGGUCUGUGGAGCCGUGCGGCGUCACCGCCG